CAACUUUCAACUUUCAACAACGGAUCUCUUGGCUCUCGCAUCGAUGAAGAACGCAGCGAAAUGCGAUACGUAAUGUGAAUUGCAGAAUUCAGUGAAUCAUCGAAUCUUUGAACGCACCUUGCGCCCCUUGGCAUUCCGAGGGGCACACCCGUUUGAGUGUCGUGA
rnacentral:rRNA from 1 species